ACAGAGCACACCAGGGAUCACAGUACGGAGCACAUCAGGGCACACUGACUGAACUGGUCAAUGAAAAUCCAAGAGCACAACUAACAUCGCAGGGGAAUGAACAUACCAACGAGUUGUCUCCUUUCAAGAGGAAUGUGCUUAAACUUCUCAUGGAAGUUAAGGCAGAGCUAAAAGAGCAGAGAGCAAUGAUACAAAACUUACAGGGAGUGCCUGCUGUACCUGAUCAGGAAAUAAGAUGUGGCUUGCAGU